CAAAAGUUUGGUUCUAGCUUUUUUAUCUGGUAAUUCUAUUAUGCCACAUGCAAAGGUUUACCUAAACCAGUCUAUAAGCAUAAGGGAAAUUAAACCAAAAAAGUACAAAAAUAGACGGCCAGCAGUGCUUAGUAUUUUACUCUCCUAGAAAUAGGGAAUAAGAAAUAGAAUUGUAUAAGAGAGGGUUAAGAUACGUGCCAGCAACCGCGGUUAAACGUUUCUCUCAACUAGAUUAAAACCUAAAUUUUUAUGUUAAUAACUCUAUUUAAAAUAAUUGAAAAACAGUGAAAUGUUAAAAAGUAAACAAUAAAAUAGUGAAACCAAGAAAAGAAAUAAAUAAACUGGGAUUAGAUACCCCACUAUAAUUUCAUGCAACAUCGGGGACUACGGUUUAUACAACAAUGUAACUAAAACCCAAAGAACUUGGCGGCAUUCCACCCCUAACCAGAGGAGUUUGUACUAUAAACGAUAAUCCGCGAGGAACCUUACCAGCCUUAGCAAAUCAGCCUGUAUACCUCCGUCGUCAGUUAACCUCUCGAGAGUGUUAGCCUAACAGUGAAAAACACAUGACUUCAGGUCAAGGUGCAGCUUAUAGGCUGGCAGAUAUGAACUACAAAGGUUUCCACAAAAGCAGAAAAGUGUUGAUAUACACCUAAAAAGGAGGAUUUGGUAGUAAUUUUUACAAAGAAGAAAAAAAUGAAUAUAGAAAUGGAACGUGCACAAAUCGCCCGUCACUCUCGUCGAAAGAGGAGAUAAGUCGUAACAAAGUAGAGGUACCGGAAGGUGUUUCUAGGCACCU
rnacentral:ncRNA from 1 species